rnacentral:rRNA from 1 species
AGCGAACGCUGGCGGCAGGCCUAACACAUGCAAGUCGAACGGACUCUUCGGAGUUAGUGGCGGACGGGUGAGUAACACGUGGGAACGUGCCUUUGGGUUCGGAAUAGCUCCUGGAAACGGGUGGUAAUGCCGAAUGUGCCCUUCGGGGGAAAGGAUUUAUCGCCUUUAGAGCGGCCCGCGUCUGAUUAGCUAGUUGGUGG